rnacentral:rRNA from 1 species
CAAGAUAGCCGAAUGACUUGGAAAAGUCAGCCAAAGUGGGUGAAAGCCCCGUAGGCAAAAUUUUGUGAGCACCUAUGAGGAUCCUGAGUACGGCGGAACACGAGAAAUUCCGUCGGAAUCUAGGAGGACCAUCUCCUAAGGCUAAAUACUCCCUAGUGACCGAUAGCGAACCAGUACCGUGAGGGAAAGGUGAAAAGCACCCCGGGAGGGGAGUGAAAUAGAACCUGAAACCGUGUGCCUACAACAAGUUAGAGCCCGUUAAUGGGUGAUAGCGUGCCUUUUGUAGAAUGAACCGGCGAGUUACGAUUGCAUGCGAGGUUAAGUUGAAGAGACGGAGCCGUAGCGAAAGCGAGUCUGAAUAGGGCGAUAGAGUAUGUAGUCGUAGACCCGAAACCAUGUGAUCUACCCAUGUCCAGGUUGAAGGUGCGGUAAAACGCACUGGAGGACCGAACCAGGACACGUUGAAAAGUGUUUGGAUGAGGUGUGGGUAGCGGAGAAAUUCCAAACGAACUUGGAGAUAGCUGGUUCUCUCCGAAAUAGCUUUAGGGCUAGCCUCGGAAGUAAGAAUGAUGGAGGUAGAGCACUGUUUGGACUAGGGGCCCAUCUCGGGUUACCGAAUUCAGAUAAACUCCGAAUGCCAUUCAUUUAUAUCCGGGAGUCAGACUGCGAGUGAUAAGAUCCGUAGUCGAAAGGGAAACAGCCCAGACCACCAGCUAAGGUCCCCAAAUGUAUGUUAAGUGGAAAAGGAUGUGGGGUUGCACAGACAACUAGGAUGUUGGCUUAGAAGCAGCCACCAUUUAAAGAGUGCGUAAUAGCUCACUAGUCGAGUGACCCUGCGCCGAAAAUGUACCGGGGCUAAACAUACUACCGAAGCUGUGGAUUGUACUUACGUACAAUGGUAGGAGAGCGUUCUAAGGGCGUUGAAGGUAGAUCGUGAGGACUGCUGGAGCGCUUAGAAGUGAGAAUGCCGGUAUGAGUAGCGAAAGACAGGUGAGAAUCCUGUCCACCGAAUAACUAAGGUUUCCUGGGGAAGGCUCGUCCGCCCAGGGUUAGUCGGGACCUAAGCCGAGGCCGACAGGCGUAGGCGAUGGACAACAGGUUGAUAUUCCUGUACUCGUUGUUUUCGUUUGAGCAAUGGAGGGACGCAGGAGGCUAGGA